rnacentral:rRNA from 1 species
UGAAUGUCCUAGGGGGUAUUGCACUUACCGAAGACUAUCAAACUCCGAAUGCCGUAUUCUUUUGCUUGGGAGUCAGACUAUGGGUGAUAAGAUUCAUAGUCAAGAGGGCAACAGCCCAGAUCGUCAGCUAAGGUCCCUAAAUGUAAGUUAAGUGGUAAAGGAUGUGGAAUUGCACAGACAACCAGGAUGUUGGCUUAGAAGCAGCCACUCAUUUAAAGAGUGCGUAAUAGCUCACUGGUCGAGUGAUCCUGCGCCGAAAAUUUCCGGGGCUAAAACGUACUACCGAAGCUACGGCAUCAUUUAUGAUGGGUAGGAGAGCUUCCCAUACGGGUUGAAGCAUGACCGAAAGGACAUGUGGACUGUAUGGGAGUGAGAAUGUUGGCAUGAGUAGCGAGAUGUGGGUGAGAAUCCCACAGGCCGUAAACCCAAGGUUUCCAGGGGAAGGUUCGUCCGCCCUGGGUUAGUCAGGACCUAAGCCGAGGCCGAAAGGCGUAGGUGAUGGACAACAGGUUGAUAUUCCUGUACCACCAAUAACCGUUUGAGAAAUGGGAUGACACAGAAGGAUAAGCUAACCGCACUGUUGGUUAUGUGCGGGCAAGUAUUGAGGCAGUUCUAAUAGGCAAAUCCGUUAGAAUAAUGCUGGGGUACGAUGCGGAGCGAAAUUUAGUAGCGAAGUAGCUGAUUUCACACUGUCGAGAAAAGUCUCUAUCGAGGUUAAAGGUGCCUGUACCGCAAACCGACACAGGUGGGUGAGGAGAGUAUCCUAAGGCCAGCCAGAGAACUGUUGUUAAGGAACUCGGCAAAAUGACCCCGUAACUUAGGGAGAAGGGGUGCCUUCGAAAGAAGGCCGCAGAGAAUAGGCCCAAGCGACUGUUUACCAAAAACAUAGGUUUCUGCUAAGUCGCAAGACGAUGUAUAGGAGCUGACGCCUGCCCGGUGCUGGAAGGUUAAGGGGAUCUGUUAGAGCAAUCGAAGCAGUGAACUUAAGCCCCAGUAAACGGCGGCCGUAACUAUAACGGUCCUAAGGUAGCGAAAUUCCUUGUCGGGUAAGUUCCGACCCGCACGAAAGGCGUAACGAUUUGGGCACUGUCUCAACAACAGACUGGGUGAAAUUGUAAUACCGGUGAAGAUGCCGGUUACCUGCGACAGGACGGAAAGACCCCAUGGAGCUUUACUGUAGCUUGACAUUGAGUCUCGGUGCUACAUGUACAGGAUAGGUGGGAGGCUAUGAAGCAUGGACGUCAGUUUGUGUGGAGCCAUCCUUGGGAUACCACCCUUGUAGUACUGGGAUUCUAACCAGCUGCCUUGAAUCAGGUAGUGGGACACUGUCAGGUGGACAGUUUGACUGGGGCGGUCGCCUCCUAAAGAGUAACGGAGGCGCUCAAAGGUUCUCUCAGUACGGUCGGAAAUCGUACGUAGAGUGUAAAGGCAGAAGAGAGCUUGAUUGCAAGACAUACAGGUCGAGCAAGGACGAAAGUCGGACUUAGUGAUCCGGUGGUUCCGCAUGGAAGGGCCAUCGCUCAACGGAUAAAAGCUACCCUGGGGAUAACAGGCUGAUCUCCCCCAAGAGUCCACAUCGACGGGGAGGUUUGGCACCUCGAUGUCGGCUCAUCACAUCCUGGGGCUGUAUUCGGUCCCAAGGGUUCGGCUGUUCGCCGAUUAAAGUGGUACGCGAGCUGGGUUCAGAACGUCGUGAGACAGUUCGGUCCCUAUCCGUCGCAGGCGUAGGAAAUUUGAGGAGACCUGUCCUUAGUACGAGAGGACCGGGAUGGACGUACCGCUGGUGUACCAGUUGUUCUGCCAAGGGCAUAGCUGGGUAGCUAAGUACGGAAAGGAUAAGCGCUGAAAGCAUCUAAGCGCGAAGCCUACUUCGAGAUAAGAUUUCCCACCGCAAGGUUAAGACCCCAUGAAGACUACAUGGUUGA